CUAGAAUCCCGGGGUCUGCGAGGACACUCCGGGGGGGCCCAGAGGACAGGCCCGGGAAUCCGAGGGGGCACAGGAGACACUGAGGAGGGGAGAGACACAGGGUCAGAAUGGCACGACAACUGGAAGCACAGAAAGACAGAAGUGUAAACCAGGCAGGAGACUGUGGAGCUUUCUGGAAGACAUAAGACGGAACUGAACCCGGUGACAUGAAUCAGGUUUCCAGGGUAAAAACGGAGCAGUGGGCAGCUGCAGCACCCAGGGACCAACUCCACUUCUUCUAUCCCAAGCCUUGCUCAGGGGCAGACAGGAGUAUUAACCCUAACAUGUAGGUCUUUUUGAUGGUGGGAGGAAACCAGAGCACCCGGAGGAAACCCACACAGACACGGGGAGAACAUGCAAACUCCACACAGAAAGGACCUGGGAUGGUCUGGGAUUUGAACCCACAACCUUUUUAUUAUGAGGAAACAGUGCUAACCACUGGGCCACCAUGCCACCUUUUUUUUUUUUAAUUUAUUUCUGAUUUUUCCCUUUUCCUCCCAAUUUAGUGGCCAAUCGAUCUGUAUUUUAGUUCAAACACCCACCCUCGUACUGCAUGCGUUCGCCAACUGCAUCUCUCCGGUCGGCAGUCUGGAAGGAGACGCCUCCCCACUUUCGUGACAAGGCGACUCCAGGCCGAACCACUGCUUUUUCCGACACACACAGAGACACAUUCAUGUGAUGAACACAAGCCGACUCCACCCCCCUCCCCAAGACAGCGCUGCCAAUUACUGCUGCUUCACCGAGUCCGGCCAUAGUCGGACCUGACGAGACCGGGGCGCGAACCCCGGUCCCCAGUGGGCAACUGCAUCGACACAAAGUCAAUGCUUAGACCGCUACACCAC